rnacentral:rRNA from 1 species
CGUACGAUACGAGUUUGUCCUGGCUCAGGAUGAACGCUAGCGGCAGGCUUAAUACAUGCAAGUCAAGGGGGUAGCAAUACAACCGGCGCACGGGUGAGUAACGCGUACACAACAUACCAUAUACUGGAGUAUAGCUUUGGGAAACUGAAGGUAAUCCUCCAUAACAUUGCGAGAGGGCAUCUGAUUGCAAUUAAAGUUUCGGCGGUAUAUGAUUGGUGUGCGUUUGAUUAGCUAGUUGGUAGGGUAACGGCCUACCAAGGCGACGAUCAAUAGUUGGCGUGAGAGCGCGACCAGCCACACUGGAACUGAGACACGGUCCAGACUCCUACGGGAGGCAGCAGUAGGGAAUAUUGGACAAUGGAGGAAACUCUGAUCCAGCCAUGCCGCGUGAUAGAUGAAGGCCCUCUGGGUUGUAAAUAUCUUUUAUCUGGGAAGAAACACUCCUAUUCUUAGGAACUUGACGGUACCAGAGGAAUAAGCACCGGCUAACUCCGUG